GAUGAACGCUGGCGGCGUGCCUAAUACAUGCAAGUCGAGCGAACGGACGAGAAGCUUGCUUUUCUGAUGUUAGCGGCGGACGGGUGGGUAACACGUGGAUAACCUACCUAUAAGACUGGGAUAACUUCGGGAAACCGGAGCUAAUACCGGAUAAUAUUUUGAACCGCAUGGUUCAAAAGUGAGAGACGGUCUUGCUGUCACUUAUAGAUGGAUCCGCGCUGCAUUAGCUAGUUGGUAAGGUAACGGCUUACCAAGGCAACGAUGCAUAGCCGACCUGAGAGGGUGAUCGGCCACACUGGAACUGAGACACGGUCCAGACUCCUACGGGAGGCAGCAGUAGGGAAUCUUCCGCAAUGGGCGAAAGCCUGACGGAGCAACGCCGCGUGAGUGAUGAAGGUCUUCGGAUCGUAAAACUCUGUUAUUAGGGAAGAACAUAUGUGUAAGUAACUGUGCACAUCUUGACGGUACCUAAUCAGAAAGCCACGGCUAACUACGCG
rnacentral:rRNA from 1 species